UGCAGUCGAACGAAGUCUUCGGACUUAGUGGCGCACGGGUGAGUAACAUGUGGGAAUCUACCUAAAGGUUCGGAAUAACUGCGGGAAACUGUAGCUAAUACCGGAUGUGUCCUUACGGAGAAAGAUUUAUCGCCUUUAGAUGAGCCCGCACUGGAUUAGUUUGUUGGUGAGGUAAGAGCUCCACCAAGACUACGAUCUAUAGCUGAUUUGAGAGGAUGAUCAGCCACACUGGGACUGAGACACGGCCCAGACUCCUACGGGAGGCAGCAGUGGGGAAUAUUGGACAAUGGGGGAAACCCUGAUCCAGCAAUGCCGCGUGAGUGAAGAAGGCCUUCGGGUUGUAAAACUCUUUCAUCAAUGAAGAUAAUGACGUUAAUUGAAGAAGAAGCUCCGGCUAACUCCGUGCCAGCAGCCGCGGUAAUACGGAGGGGGCUAGCGUUGUUCGGAAUUACUGGGCGUAAAGCGUAUGUAGGCGGAUCAAAAAGUUAGAUGUGAAAUCCCUGGGCUUAACCCAGGAACUGCAUUUAAAACUAGAGAUCUAGAAUUUGGUAGGGGUUAGUAGAAUUUCCAGUGUAGAGGUGAAAUUCGUAGAUAUUGGAAAGAAUACCAGUGGCGAAGGCGACUAACUGGGCCAUUUUUGACGCUGAGAUACGAAAGCGUGGGUAGCAAACAGGAUUAGAUACCCUGGUAGUCCACGCA
rnacentral:rRNA from 1 species